UNGGAAUUACUGGGCGUAAAGCGGGCGCAGACGGUUACUUAAGCGGGAUGUGAANUCCCCGGGCUCAACCCGGGAACUGCGUUCCGAACUGGGUGGCUAGAGUGUGUCAGAGGGGGGUAGAAUUCCACGUGUAGCAGUGAAAUGCGUAGAGAUGUGGAGGAAUACCGAUGGCGAAGGCAGCCCCCUGGGAUAACACUGACGUUCAUGCCCGAAAGCGUGGGUAGCAAACAGGAUUAGAUACCCUGGUAGUCCACGCCCUAAACGAUGUCGAUUAGCUGUUGGGGCACUUGAUGCCUUAGUAGCGUAGCUAACGCGUGAAAUCGACCGCCUGGGGAGUACGGUCGCAAGAUUAAAACUCAAAGGAAUUGACGGGGACCCGCACAAGCGGUGGAUGAUGUGGAUUAAUACGAUGCAACGCGAAGAACCUUACCUGGUCUUGACAUGUACGGAACCUUCCAGAGACGGAAGGGUGCCUUCGGGAGCCGUAACACAGGUGCUGCAUGGCUGUCGUCAGCUCGUGUCGUGAGAUGUUGGGUUAAGUCCCGCAACGAGCGCAACCCUUGUCAUUAGUUGCCAUCAUUCAGUUGGGCACUCUAAUGAGACUGCCGGUGACAAACCGGAGGAAGGUGGGGACGACGUCAAGUCCUCAUGGCCCUUAUGACCAGGGCUUCACACGUCAUACAAUG
rnacentral:rRNA from 1 species